GAGGCUAUAGCUGAGUGAUAGAGCGUGCACCUAGCAGGCACAAGGUCCUGGGUUCAAUCCCCAGUACCUCCA
rnacentral:tRNA from 1 species